rnacentral:lncRNA from 1 species
CGCGGGCGGAGGCUUCCGGGGCUGGGGGCGGUGCCACGUGCAGUGCCGGCGGCGCACGGCAGAGGGCGUAGAGGAGCUACCGCCGCCCUCCCGGAUCCCACGGCGCGGUCCGCGACGCCCGCCCUGCCGCCGCCUGGCCGAAGCCUCUCCAAGGCCAAGGCCACCCUCGGCCCCGCCCCGCCGCAACCGCCGCCCCGGAGUGUCGGUCGAAGAUCACCCUAGGCCCACGCCCUCUGCCCGCCCCGGACGCGCCACCCCUUCCUGGGCCUCCCUCCCUCCUUCCGCUCCAGAUUGGUUUUCUGUUGUCCAGACUUCCAUCCGCCAGGGAUUCUCUUUUGACAUCCAUUCAGGUCAGCCCCACAUUUCUCCCUGGAGCUCUGAGAGUCUUCCAGAAAAAGUUCCUGAGGAGAGCUCACUGCUGGAGGUCUUGGUCUCUCACACCCUUGGAGCUCAUCUACCCAAGUGAGGCUGAGUGCCCUCCGCCAGUGCAGACAGACCCAGUCCGUGUUGAUGCAAAACCAGGUCUCUGUGACCAAGAGGAAAAGACCAAGGAGUCCUGGAGAUGACCUAGUUCACAGGCUCUCUCUCUUGUUCAUGCUCCUGUUUCGGCCAGUUCGUAUGAAGAAAAUGAGGCCCAGGAUGGACCUUGUUCUAUCUGGAAAAAGACAGAAAAGGGACCUUAGGACUGGAAAGGCAACUAUAGGAGCAGCACCCCCCUGGUGGCGUUGGGGACCCAAGCUUGAGGCAAAACUCACUCAAGGACAGCAGAGCAGAGGGAAUGGAGUCCUUGAGCUGCUGCAUCCAACCUCCCAAACCUGCCAUCCUACUGAACUUCUGCUAUGAGAGAAAGCAAAACAUCGGUGUUCAUCCCCAGGAUGAAGCAGGCUGCCUUGUCUGAGCCUGGGGUCUUCGCCAGAGGUGCACCUCAUCAAAGCCCCUGAGAUGCCCCUCCAGGGCCUGGUCCCUGCAGGAGAAACCAAGCUCUAAGGCAGAGGCAAAGGAGCCACACAGCUGCACCCUGCAAGCCUUCUGGAGUCCUUGUCAGCUGUGUCCCUCAUAAGUCAUUCAAGGAGACCUUGUGGGUUCCAAGCUUGGGUCAUUUAAGUGGUUGUUGUCGCAUAAACAUGGCUUUCCAAGGACA